rnacentral:ribozyme from 1 species
CAUCGAGAAUAUGGAAAAGGAAACAAAAAAUGAUCUCAAAUUUUGCAGUUCUAGCUAUAGACAGUUGCAGCAGAAAAUAAAACGAAAAAGAAAGGAAGAAAAAAUAACGUGCCUCAUGAUUUUGAUUUCUCACACAUGAACUUUUCAACGCGCCCAACUAAAAUCC